UUUUAAGGCCCUCAAUGUUACAAUUGGCAACAAAUCUGCAAGUUCAACAUGUCAAGUGUGGCGAAUUCUUGUGAGCUAGAGAUCAGCAAGAUCAUUAUCUCAAGUUUUAUGAAGUCUCAUGAGCAAGAUGUUACUAAGGUCUAGAAUUUAAGAUGUCUUGGAAUUUAAUGAACAAGGUGCCAUCAAGGGUAAACUGCUUGAUGUCAUUAAACAAUAUACUGUUUGUGAAAUACACCUGCAAGAAGAGCAAAGAAUAACAUGCUGCUUGUCUAGAAACAAUCAACUGUUGUUUGUGAAAGUCACCAGCAAAACAUACAAAGAAUAACAUGCUGCUUGUCUAGAAACAAUCAACUGUUGUUUGUGAAAGUCACCAGCAAAACAUACAAAGAUGUUGGCGAAAAGAAGAGCAAAUGCGAGGAAGAAGCAACCCAGUCAAUCAAACGAAGAUGAUGCCAAAUGUUUUCUGCAUAAUUUCACUUAAGACUUAACAGCCAAAAGGCUGUAGUCAUUUAGAAACUAGAAAUUCAUCAUCAUGAACCGUGGUCCACAUGUAGAAAAGCAAAAGAAUCGUUAACCCGACGGAAACCUUCCAAAUUGCUAGCCAGUUUCAAAAACAUGCCCAGAGAAGGCUUUAAGAUUUGAAAGAAAGAGCAGAAAUUUGAAGAAGCAGAAAGACACUUUGGUUCAGCUGCCGUUUUGCAAAGAAAAAGGAGCAGCAAAAGCGAAACACCACUACAUCAAGACCACUAAGCGAUUUUCCAGACCACUGCCGUUUUGCAAAGAAAAAGGAGCAGCAAAAGCGAAACACCACUACAUCAAGACCACUAAGCGAUUUUCCAGACCACUACAUCCAGACCAGCCAGACCACUUCAUCCAGAGCAGGAACAAGAACCACGAACAGCAUUUCAGGCAUAUGUGAUUUGCGUAAAGUUGGAUAUCAUAUAAUAUCUCACUAAGAUAGGGACACGUCAUAAUAAUACUUAGAUUAUAUCAGGUUCUUCUAAAGAGUUGUUCACUGAGCCCAAUUAUAUAUUUUAUUGCUGUUGUCAAUAAAUUGUUUUGACUCAACACGCAAAGUACAUUGUUUUUUUGUGUCUCCCUCUCGUACUAACAGACUAACACGUGACUUAGACAACACAGUACUUAGACAGACCAACA